AUUAGGGUUUUGCGUGAACUGUGUUUGGUCUUCUAUAAAUUGCCUCAUUCUCCUUCGUUAGCAUCCAUCACCGACGUCUCUGGCUUCUGAAUCUGGCUGUUCAGCUCUCUUCAGAUAAUGUUUUGAAAUUUUAUAGCAAAUUAUUUAAUGUGAGUUCUGAUUCAGUAUGAAAUUUCAUUGCAAAGUUAAUCGUCCUUUGCAGGAUCUGUAGAUUAGUUAUGCCGUGAUGAAAUCUUUUUGUGUUCCAGAGAUGAGUCUUUUGAGCUCGUCUUUGAUGGUAACACAACCCUCUAAGAAGUUCUGAGCUGAAGCUUAACUUUUCUUCAGUUUUACUGUAUGUUUUUCUUUUAUUUAUUAAUUUAUGGUUGAUUUUCUGAGGAUCAAAAAGCGAGUUGACGAUAGAAAUUCAUUUGUCUGUCAAUCCACUGACUAUUUGUGUGAUGUUAUCAUGAAUCCCGACAGGUUCUGAUCGCUUCCUAAUCCUCAAGCUCACUGCUUUUAUUUAUUUUUUAUUUUUCUGCUUUGGAUGGAUUUCUAUUUCGUUUUCGGCAAUUUGAUUUUUGAUGGGUCUUUUUUUUUUGGGAGUUCAAAUCGGGAAUUUUAUAAUUGUGGCUACUAAUCUUUGUUUAUCGAGUUAAAAGGAAGGGUUUUGUGUAAUUGGGCAGGUGAUGAAUCUCAUAUUUUUAAUGGGUAAUUUGCGUCUGAAACAUUUCAUUGAUGCUUUAUAACCUUGGAGACCUGAUGCCCUUGCAGCUCAUUUAUCUGCUUCCAUAACAGGCCAGAUACUUCAGUACCAAUGUGAUGUGUUUUCUUUAGCAGUUCAAACUUAUCUUAGUAAUUGCAUUCUUGCUUGUGUUAUAGUUGGGUUAAUUGAUACUUCGGUAAAUUGCAUAAAACUUCUUCAAAGUAAUUGCAUUCGUGCUUGUAUCAAAUUAUUGCAUUUGUGUGUGUGUGUGUGUGUGUGUGUGUGUGUGUGUGUGUGUGUCUUUUGAAGAGAUGGAAUUGAUGAAUAUUUCCCCAAAUGAUCGACGCUGAACAAACUGAGCGAUCUUUCUCUCUAUUGAGAACCAAGCCAGAAUUCUGAUCCAUCCUUUGACAUGAAUGACAUACUUAUGUUUGACGUUUUGUUUUGCAAAUAUUGUUAUGAUUCUGUCAAUUUUCAGGCUUCUUUGUUUUAGAGGUGGUGAUUAGUGAGGAUCCUUAUAGCUGAAAGGAUUAUUUUGCUUCAGUUUUAUAAUGUCUUUUUCUUUUAUUUGUUACGGGGGAUUUUCGAGGGUAAAAUAGGGAGGUGAUGAUAGAAAUUCAUUAGUCUGUAAAUCCACUGACUAAACAAUUGUUUGAUGUUACCAAGUAUCCUGACAGGUUCUCAAGAUCAGAGCUUUUUUAAUCCUCAAGCUCGCCACUAUUUUUUUUGGGGAAGUGGAUUUCUAUUUCUUUUUGGCAAGUUGAUUUGAGAUGGGUAUUUAUUUUUUGGGAGUUCAAAAUGGGAAUUUUAUAGUUUUUGCCUGCCAAUCUUUGUUUAUUGAGUUAAGGAAGGAUUUUGUGUAAUUGGGCAGGUGAUGAAAUCUUGUAUUGUUAAUGGGUAAUUUGCGUCUGAAUUAUUUCAUUGAUGCUAUGCAACCUUUGAGACCUGAUGCCUGUAUUCAUCUGCUUCUAUAACAUACCAGAUCCUUCAGUACCAUUGUGAUGUGUUUUCUUUACCAGCUCAAACCUAUCAUAGGUUUGAAUGGUUUGGAGGUGGUGAUUGGUGAAGGAUUGUUAGAGCUGAAAGUAAAGGAUUUUUUCUCUGCAAUUAGGUGCUGGAAUGAUCAUUCUGAUAUGUUUUUUAAAUGGUCAAUUUCGUCCAGGGCUGGCACUGGAACUUCUCACAUUGUUUGCAUGUUUCUACAUUUGUACUCCUUCAGAAAUCAAAAUGUCUUGAGAAAGAUUUGUUUAGCUUACCCUCUAAUUUGGAUACAGCGAAGGAAAAAGAAGAGCUGGCGAAGUGAAAUUAAAUUUACAUUUUGGAGAGAAAUAUAGAGGAAAAAAAGGGCAUUUCCUUUUCAAUGUAUAUAACGAAAAAAUUAUAUCAUUUCCCUUUUUUAUGCGUA